CGUUGUGCCGCCCUUAGUAGCACGCGUGUCGCCCAGGCCGUAAGGGCCAUGCGGACUAGACGUCAUCCCCACCUUCCUCCUGCUUUCGCAGGCAGUCUCCACAGAGUGCCCGGCCGAACCGCUGGCAACUGAGGAUAGGGGUUGCGCUCGUUGCGGGACUUAACCCAGCAUCUCACGACACGAGCUGU
rnacentral:rRNA from 1 species